CCCGGGCACAGCCCUGACUGGCCUUUCUCUCUGUUUCUGAGCAGUGUACCGUGUCCACAGCGUCCUACAGGGCUUCAUCCCCCUCUUCCAGAAGUUAAUAGGGUUCAAGAAGACCCACUGAGGCCACGGGGACAGAGCCACGUUCUGGGAGACCACAGGAGGCCAUCCCAAAGCAAUCCAGAGAGCUCUUUUCCUUCCAUGUGGGCUGGACCUUGGCAGGAGCCCAGGCCGGGGCAUCAUUUGGGCAGCCCCAGAAUCCCAUCCAGCUGCCAGGGUGCAGGGCAGAGGGAGGGCGCGGGCCUGAGCCCUUCCCAGGCACCCGGAUCAGCAGGAAGCUUCUGGAAUGCGAUGGUUCUGGGCAGAGAGCCCAAGAGCCCAGGGAACCCUCCAGGUGGCGCUCUGUCUGGGCUUCUGGUUUCUUCCAAAAUCUCAGACCAGGCUGGUGCGCUCUGAGGUCCAAAGAGCCACUCUGGGGCAGAGCUCACUACCCAGAGCCAUGGAGCCACCAGGCUGGGUCCCCCCCACCCCCCAGUGAACCUGAUGCAGGUAAGAAGAAGGGGACCAACACCACAGCCCCUGGGAAUCUUCCCUCAGCCCUGCUGUCCCCAAAGCCAUCAAUUCAAAUAAACACCUCCUCCCUGAACUGAAA